AGUGAACGCUGGCGGUAGGCCUAACACAUGCAAGUCGAACGGCAGCACAGUAAGAGUUUGCUCUUACGGGUGGCGAGUGGCGGACGGGUGAGGAAUACAUCGGACUCUACUUUUUCGUGGGGGAUCACGUAGGGAAACUUACGCUAAUACCGUAUACGACCUACGGGUGAAAGCAGGGGAUCUUCGGACCUUGCGCGAUUGAAUGAGCCGAUGUCGGAUUAGCUAGUUGGCGGGGUAAGGGCCCACCAAGGCGACGAUCCGUAGCUGGUCUGAGAGGAUGAUCAGCCACACUGGAACUGAGACACGGUCCAGACUCCUACGGGAGGCAGCAGUGGGGAAUAUUGGACAAUGGGCGCAAGCCUGAUGCAGCCAUACCGCGUGUGUGAAGAAGGCCUUCGGGUUGUAAAGCCCUUUUGGUGGGAAAGAAAAGCAGCAGGUUAAUACCCCGCUUCACUGACGUUACCCAAAGAAUAAGCACCGGCUAACUUCGUG
rnacentral:rRNA from 1 species